AGGGAGGGAUGGUUAUGCAAG
rnacentral:miRNA from 1 species